GAUGAAGAACGCAGCGAAAUGCGAUAAGUAGUGUGAAUUGCAGAAUUCAGUGAAUCAUCGAAUCUUUGAACGCACAUUGCGCCCCUUGGUAUUCCAUGGGGCAUGCCUGUUCGAGCGUCAUUUGUACCUUCAAGCUCUGCUUGGUGUUGGGUGUUUGUUCCGCCUCUGUGUGUGAACUCGCCUCAAAACAAUUGGCAGCCGGCGUAUUUGUUUCGGAGCGCAGCACAUUUUGCGAUCCAGAUCAACGUACAGCGGCAUCCAAGAAGCCUUAUUUAACGCUCUUGACCUCGGAUCAGGUAGGGAUACCCGCUGAACUUAAGCAUAUCAAUAAGCGGAGGA
rnacentral:misc_RNA from 1 species